rnacentral:lncRNA from 1 species
ACCCUAGGCAGGCACUGCUCCGUGAUCCAGGAACCACCUCUCUCUACAGCUGGGAGUGAGCAGUCAGAGAGGGAGACAGCCUUGCCCGGUGCUACCCAGCAAGCUAGUCACCGAGUGGGCAGAGGGAGGAGCGGCCCUCACCGGAUGUCAAGCAGCCUGGGUCCCCAGUCCAGCUCUGCCUGUCCCUCGCAAUAACGCCUCAGUGACGACCAUUUGUGAGCCAUCUCUCUGUCUCAGGCACGGUGCUACAUGCCAACGAAACCUGCUCCCAUUGAACCCUGGCCAGCCAGUGAAGAAAGGGUUGGGCCUGGGAGGUGCCACUUUACAGACAGGGGCACCAAGGGGCAGGGUGGCAGGAGGCCCACCGGACGUUCCCCAUGAAGUAGCAGUACCAGCAUCCACACCCAGCAGGCACCACGCUGGCCCGCAGCCUCCCUGCCAGCACGCCUGGCUUCCCGGCCUCGGAACUUGAUCUGCUCCCUCUUCCGGACACUGGGGCUCCUGCCAAGUCCUGGGCUGGGCAGCAACUGCUGAACAUUCUAAGAAAUCCCUCCCAGGGUUUUCUCAGGAGCCCGGGUGGGGCAGGAAGUCCCCAGGGGCUGAGGGGACCGUGGCGGCAGGUGGCACCCAGAGCAGCACUCUCCUGGGGCCCAGGCUGUUGGGCCAGAGGCAGGACUGUGAGGCCUAGUGUAGGGCCUCCUGCCAGUGGCCGGCACCUACUUGUGGGGCUGGGGGUUCCCCCAGCAGGUUGGGCUCCCCACCUGACACACUCACAGACCUUGUGCCUUGGAGAGCCAGUGUUCCCGGGGCCACAUAGCUAUGCCGCCCAGGGGCUGGGCCUGUCCCAGCUCUGGUCCCCCGGCCCCAGGUCCUGGACGCUGGCUCCGCGCAGCAGCAGGCGGCCUCCGGAGGACACGAUGUGACUGGCUGCCGCUACGUCGCACUCAGAUGAGUCUGCGCCGGAUCGACCUGCUGCCGAGUCCUGCCGGACAGGCACAGGCAGGGAGUGAAAAUUAUCUACCCCUUUUUAUUUCUUAAUAACUGAAUGAAAAUAAACAUUGGUGGUUUGACAAAUAACUACAUAUUUUCAAACCCAGCCAGUCCAGGGGAUGCAGUUUCCAGGUGCGUUAUGCAACAGGACGCCGCCGAGAUGCUCUGAGAUGUCCCUUGGCUGUCUCACGGGUUGUCUCUGGGUUCCCUCCCACCCCCACUCUCCUUUGCCACCCUCUCCCCAGCCCCCACUACCCUUUCACGCUUCUAAAUUCAAGGGCCACACUGUCCCCUGAACAGACCAAUCACAAUGAGAUCCAUUAUAGUUCCAAAGAUACCACGAAAAAAAAAAAAAAACGUGGGGGGUGUCCAGGAAUGCAGCCGCACCCCAGAGAGCAGUACAAUCAGCUAUUGUUGUGCUAGAAGUUUCUCUGUGAUAAGAAGGGAAUCUAGCAAUGCCGCCUUCUGAACUGAUUGCAAAACAGAAUAGAAAGUUCAAGGCCCCGAGAUAGCUAAGCUAGCAGCCCCUCCAGAGCAGCCCCAGGCCACACAGCUGGGCUUUGGGGCUGGCCAGCCCCUGUCCUUGCAUGCAUCUGCACAGGGCUCCUUGCAAGGGGGCCCGGCUCCAUAUCCCCCACCUCGCCCCCUCCCCAUCUGGGCCUGGGGCGGCUGAGCUGGCUUCCUGCACUGAGGGGACCCUCCGGCCUCCUUCCUGAAGCAGCUGCCCUUCCCCGAGGGACUCCCGGGUGAGGGCCUCCCACAUUGUCUGCUUUAGUGAUGCUGGUUCUCCCACAGACGCUGCCUGUCCACCCCGCACAGAUGGCAUGACUGUCCUCCCCUUGCCCGGGCAGGGAUACGGCGGCACAGAGAUGGGGGCCGAUGGCUAGGACCUGAACUCCAAGCUGUGGGCCCCAGGUUUUUCAUCUGCUUAGGCCACUCCCCACUGCCCAGACGUCCCCUGGGGUGUCCGGUUUGCUGGAAGGGCCACCACUGGCCUUGAGCUCCCAGUGUCAUUUCCGGGCGCUGACGCGUGAGGGUCUCCAACAGGCGGGCCCACGGGAAGUGCUUUCUGUGCUUGGCCCUUCAUGCUUUGCCUCUGGUUCCUGAAAUGGGCACUGGAGGUGGGCACAGUUACUGUCCACAUUUCACAGGUGAGCAAAGUGAGGCUUAGAGAAGCUAAGUGACUUGUCCAAGGUCACACAGCAAAAGAGGGGCCUCGAACAGAACUAAAGGGCCCAUGGUGCACAGGCAGAGGUUGCCAUAGAGCGACCAGGGCCUUCUCAAAUCCGGCUGUGAGCAGAAACUUCUCCCGCCCCCCCGGGCCCACCAUGGUGACCUGUGGAGUGCCUCCAUGCGCCGAGAUCGCUUAUCAGCCCAUCAGCACUGGUCACGGCCACUUUUAUGGUCUGUGUUCUCUCGUGUGUCUGUAUUCGUGCGACGUUCCUUCAUUCAGGCAAUAUUUGCUGAGCAUCCAGGAGGCCCCCGUUUAUUCAUUUAUCAUCCAGCAAACACCGCGAGGCGGCUGCCAGCUGGGGCCGGGCUCGGUGCGGGCUCCCGGGUGGGGGCGGGCAUCACGGGGCACUGCGUGGCGGAUGUGGGGAGGGUCGUGAUGGGGAGGGACGUGCUAGGUGUGCACAGAGAUGCUGGGGUGCAGGAGCGGGUGUCUCUCUGAGCACAUGGCCCGGAAACUGAGGGCUGUGGGUGCACUAAUGUGGGGGAGAGACCAACUUCCUUUCACUGGAGCCCUCAAAGUUUCUGGCAGGGAUAACCAGGAUCCUAGCGUCUGACACUAAGUUCAGGGAGGUCACAGGACGUGCUGGAACCAGGAGUUCAGGGUUCAAGCCCAGGCCUUUCUCCUCAUAUUGAACGGGCCUCUCCUGGUACCAUGGGGUGCCCUUGAUCCAAAGCCCCCAGUGAGGAACAUCUCACGGUAUGUGGGGAUGGGCCUUUGCCAUAGCAGCCCAUGCAAGGCCUUGGGGCCAGAGCCAGCCCCGCAGGGACCCUCCUUGCACUAUUCUUCACAUACACCAUUGAGGACAAGAGGAAGGGACACCCCUGGCCUGGCCAUGUGGUGACAGCUCCCUGUGCAUUGACCCCCAGGGGUGCUGCGAUCUAGGAGUGGCCAUGAGACGAGGGGGAGGGAGACACUUUCCCGAUGGUGUGGCGGGCAGGUCUGGCAGGCAGGGUUAGGCGGGGUCGUGGAAGAGGCUGUCCUGGCCCAGAGGCUGCCAGGCCUGGCCUGGGGCUGGCUCCUCUUCCAGGAAAGGUGUGAGGCCUCUUGUGGCUCAGCACUUUGGAAAGUCAGCCAAGUUCUAAGCUUACAGGUGCAUGAAGGUUCCAUGUCUGUGGUUUCAAGAACAUAAAAGUGGGGUGGGAGGCCCUGGGAGGUGGUCCUGUGUGGGGGCAGCCAAGUAGGGGGCGUGGGAUGGGGAAUGAGGUAGGGGAUGGAGUAAGAUGUGGGAGAAGUGAAGUGGGGGUGAAAUGGGGAAGUGGGAGUGGGAGGGGAGGAAGGGGCAGGUGCUGGGAAGUUGGCCCUUGUGGCCCUAAUCUGUCUGUGACAGCUUCCGCUCCUACCCAUCCACAGGGACAAGAACAAGUAUCCCCUUCCCCAGCCUGCUCCCUCUUAAAAAAAAAUCCUCUUCCUAUUUAGUAUGCAACAGGUGCUCAAUGUGUGCUCCUACCGUUCUCCAGGAAAGGAGGGAGCUAAGCAGGACACAGCCCAGAGCUCAGCACUCCCCUAGCCUCCCACCCUCACCUCCCAAGGCAAGGGCCAAACCCAACGGUCUGGCUGGGGACCCCCACCAGCCUCCCCCACCAUGGAUGGAGGUGGCACGUCUUGAGGCCCAGAGGGGGCAGACAUGACGUCCAAGGCUACACAGUGAGUCUAGACCACAUGGCCUGCUCCUCACGCCCUGGAGAAAGAAAAGGCAGCCCAAAGCAGGGAGGGUCAUGCCCCACCUGGAGUGGGCCUUGAUGACCUUGACGUCCCCUUCCCACCUUGAAAUAUUUAACAAUUCUUCCGGAGUUUCCCCAAGGAGGCCUAUUCACACAGGCGGGCCAUCUGAUGAUCUGCCCCUGGGGGGUUUCUCCUGCAGCCACCUGGGAGGGGCGUGGCACUGGACAGGGAGGUCCCUUUACCCCACACAAGAAGGAAGAGCCGAGUAACCCACCCUGACGGGCAGUCCCUCCACUGGGAGCUGGGGCCAGGGUCUGGGCGAGGGGCUGGAGUCAGACUGUGGGAGCACGGAGCCCAGGAUCUGAGCCUGCCCGCAGGCUGCCUGUCUUCUGGUCUCUCUCCUCCUGCUCCAGCUUGGCCGAGCCAAGCUGCCGAAGGCCAAAGAGCAGCAUGAACUCCUAAGAGUGACCCAAAUAAACCUUCUUUUCAAGAAAAACAGGCCCUGCAAGCCUGUGGGUCCCCAUGACAAGGGAUCCAUCAGGCAGACAGACUGCACUUCGGUUCGGUUGGUGAGGACUCUGUCCCACUCCGCCAGCAGCUCCCAGCCUGCUGGGCCCUGGCCCUGGUGGUCACCGCUGUGGCUUCCUGCACCCCCGCCCCGUAGAGAGCUGCAGGGAGCCCGGGGUGCUGCUGCUCUUCUGAGGCGGGAGGGUCUCCUGCCUUUGCUCAGGUUUUAUAGAGAGAGGGUGGGCUGGACAGGGACAGACAGGGGCUGGCGGCUGAGGGUGAGGGUGGAGGGAGUGGUGCGGUGUCCCGGCUACAGGCGGGCUCUAGGGCUGGGCUGGGUGAGGGCUUGGGCAGGGUGGGUGGAAGGCUCAGAGGGGCCUGGGGCCAGGGCCCGGUGGGUCCUUCGCUGCCCUGGUUGGGGUGGGGUGGGUCACUGCAGGGAAUUACAGCAAGUGGGAGGCUCCAGGAGGUGGGGAGUUUCCUCCGACUUUUGGGACUCUGAGGCUCGGCCUCCUCUUGCACGUUCUCCAGCCUCCUCGUCACCGCCACCAGGUUACUACCUUUACCCGACGCACACCUGACGUGGCUGGAUGACUGGGCCCGGGGGCUGCUGCCCCUUCUCGCACCCCGCCCCUCCCCUCCCC